UAAUGUAGUACAAAAAAAAGCACC
rnacentral:piRNA from 1 species